UUAUUGCACGACGCGCGCUGCGGAAACACACGAAAUACGAACGUACCUACCGUGCGUUCAAAUUUGGAACGACCCACGAAAAUCAGACGUGUUUCCUGAUUCUAUUCAUGCGAUUUGAAUUAAGUGAAAAACGAUUCUCAACAGAAUCGUUCUGAGCGAUUUUAAUGCAAUCACAAAUUGUAGGCAUAGGUUUUUUUUUUUUUUUUUGAAAACUGUCGUGCGUGUUAUUACUUAAGUGACAAUAUUCUCGUAAUUUUUAAAAAUAUUUCAGAACUGAAUGAGUAAAAUUAUGAAAUGUGACUAGUGACGUGUUUAUAUUUUUAUAACAUUAUUGUGAUUAUUAAGUGCUUUUUAUAGUGCACUCAAUAGUAGUAAAUUAGUUUUCCUGUUGUGUAUCCACAUUUUGUUUCUACCAGUACUUCGUUAGUUACGGUAACCCUAAAGUGUCAGUGUCUGUGAGUGUGUAAUGUCAAAGUGACAAGUGACGUGAGUUGACGUGAUAGCCGCGUCAUGGAGCCGGUGCCUUUGCCCCUCGAGGACGAGGAGCGCCCGCCGCAGGGCUCCUCCACCGGCAGCGGUUCUUCAUCGGGAACCGGAUAUUACGGACAUAAAAAUGGUGUGACGACAAGGAGUGAAGAAAUAUUAGGUGAAUGGAGAGGCGAUAGGAGAAUGCUGGACAUCACGCGAGACAAGCCCGUCAAGGUCUGCGUGCGAGUCGUGGUUCCAGUGAGGGAUCACCCUAAAUUUAAUUUCGUGGGGAAACUUCUGGGGCCCAAAGGAAACUCGUUGAAGAGACUUCAGGAAGACACAAUGUGCAAGAUGGCGGUGUUGGGUAGAGGAUCAAUGAAAGACAGACAAAAGGAGGAGGAGCUUCGUGUCUCCGGAGAUCCGAAGUUCGCGCAUUUAUCAGACGAACUCCACGUCGAGAUCAGUGCGUUCGCGACACCAGCCGAAGCCCACGCCAGGAUCGCGUAUGCUUUGGCCGAGCUACGAAGGUUUUUGGUACCCGACUACAAUGACGAUAUACGACAAGAGCAAAUGCUGGAGAUGCAGAUCUUGUCCUCACAGAAUGACCAGAGGCAUCUCACUCCACCAAACUCUUCCAGGAGCGGCAGCGAGGAAACCCUGCCUCUGAGAGACACUGGCAACAAGCCUAGGCUGCCAACAGUUCAGCCGUCACCGGCUCCGACGGCCAUGCCCAGCGCCAUCGCAGUCAGCCACGCGCCCACCAGCCGCGACUUCUCCCCUCCAGCUCCCACACCGGCUCCUGAACAUCUGGCUGCUCAUCACCAGUUGGCAGCCGGGCACACUGGUCACGGGAUGCUGGUCGGCGGAGGCAUGAUACAGCAGCCCCCUCAUCAUUUGAUCACCCAAAACUCUAUACUCGGUACAGGCGACAUCCUGGGCUUGAGCAGUCCCGUGCUUGGUGGAGUGCUACACGCGCACCCAGCACUGCGUGGGGUGAAGCCUGCAGCAGUCCACGCUCUGGCGACGCAAGGUGCGGGUGGGUCGGCGGGUACCAGCACGGCACGCAAGCGUCCCCUGCUGGGCGGAGCGCGGGCCGCAAUGUCUCCGACUAAACGGGCCGUGAUGACCCUGCUCGCGAGGGCUAGGGCUGCCACGCACAAGCACGCAACCACAUGGCCUGCGCCACACGAGCACACGGCUUUACUACCAUUGAUAAGGGACGACUUCGUGGCUGGUGUUGGUGUCAACAUUAAUUUAGCGUAACUCAAUGUCUAGUCAAACUGUAACCCUAACUAAUGCAACAUUAGAUCUUUUUUGCAAUGAAUGUCUCGGAGAUAUUUUCCAAUUGUUAUUUUUGAAGCGAAAAUUAUGUUUGACCAAUUGACCUAUAGGAAAGGAGUGUUUCAAUCGGCAAGGACUCUGACAUCCCUUAGUUUAGCUAAAGGGUGAUGUCGUGGCCUGCAACCUCUUUGACAGGACAUAAGACCUACAACGACUAGAGAUAGACACAGACUAAGACAGAGAUGUGAAAAGAAUUCGAAAAGAAAUGGAACUAGGGCGUACGUGACCGGCGGCACGGCAGCACAUUAUUUGACGUCCUUAAAGAAAGACACAAAAAGACGAAAAAGAACGAAUUGACCGUUCUAAUAUAAGACGGCAAUAGAACAAACGACCGUUCAACUGACCUUCGACCGUUCAACGGACCUUCGACCGUUCAACGGACCUUCAACCGUUCAAGUGAUCCUUCGACCGUUCAAGUUUUUUAUUUAUUUAUUUUUUAUUGCUUACAUGUGUGGACGAGCUCACAGCCCACCUGGUGUUAAGUGGUUACUGGAGCCUAUGGACAUCUACAACGUAAAUGCGCCACCCACCUUGAGACAUAAGUUCUAAGAUCUCAGUAUAGUUACAACGGCUGCCCUACCCUUCAAACCGAAACGCAUUACUGCUUCACGGCAGAAAUAGGCAGGGCGGUGGUACCCACCCGCGCGGACUCAUAAGAGGUCACUUCAAUCGGCAAGGUCUGACAUCCCUUAGUUUAGCUAAAGGGUAAGUUGUGGGUAGGUACUAUAGCAGCAUCUUUCAGUGGCCAUUUUUCAACCCCCAAAACUGUCGCAUUGAUCGAUCGAUUAUAUUAAAAGUUAAUUUAUCGCCUAGCAAUUUGAUGUUUUAUCAGAAUGGGUGUUUCGAAGUUUUUUUUUUUUUAAUAUAAAUAAUUGUAACCAGACUAGUUUAUUGUCUAUCCGAUGUUUAAUGCUGUGGAAGACGUGAAUUUCACCGGCCACUUUAAGACAUGACAGCUUAAUGGUGUUGUAGGGAUUACAUAUGUUCCCAUAUUAUCUGCUUUCGCCUAUAUGUCAUUUUACGGUUCGUAUUACUCGUUUGGUUUAUCAUUAAAGACAUUCAUUGUAAAAAAGAUAUUUUUCUAUCUAGUCAAAACAAAAAAAUAUGUACAUCGAUUUUUUUUGUGUAAAUUGUAAUGAAUAAAUUAGCUAAAUUGUCAUCAAUUAUUGCUGAUAGUUUUAUUUUCAUGUCUUAGAUUUUAUUAUGUAGAUUAUGUUUUGUAUGUAUGUAUGUAUUACGAUGUUUUGUUAGUAUUGAGAACUGAGUGUUAAAUUUUGCCUCCAGCUGACGCCCUACAUAAAAAAUAAACAAAUUAAUGUUGUAAUCAUAUUAUGUAACAAAAUAAACAAUAAUAAACAUCACAUGGAGAUCAUAUUAUAUAAUUACAUCAUCUCUUUUUUUUCAAAAUUACAAGUACUUAAUCUAACUUAAAAUUUUAGUACAUUCAAAUCCAAACCUGAAAGUUUAAAAUUAUUAUAGUAAUUAUCCAGUAAAUUAAACCAUUUAUUACUGAAAUAUUACGCAUGCACUUCAUUUGUAAAAAUGCUCAUUAAAAUCGAUUUAAAAUUAAUUAACAUAACGCUGAGUUUGGUUUGAAUGUUUACUUACUCUAUAACACCAAAUUUUAGCGUAACGUGUAAUCAAAUCUUGUGUGUGUUAACUGUGAUUACUUAUUACAAUUUGCGCAAAAUUACGUAUUAUAUUAAGAAACGCAUUACUAAUUAGUACCUGUUUUGUUUAAAAUCCUUAUAGUAAGUAAUUUUAAGUAUGUAGAUAAUGUAAUUUCUUUUGUCUACAAAAUAUAGGCAUUCAUUUUAAUUGAAAUUGAUGUAAUAAAAAUAAAAAUAAAAUCAAAAAAUAUGUAGGUAGUCAUUUGAAAAUAUAUUUUAUAGUGUUUAUUUGUCGAAGUUUUUUUUUUUGUAUAUCCACCGUCUGGGGCGAUCUCACACGUGCGUAAAGACCAAGAGUUGAGAAGCUAAAAAUUUUUUUGGGACAAACCGUUAUUUAUUUUCAAAAAACGAAUACAUAUUUGCUCCGUUUCAAAUUAAAAUGAAAUUAUAAAAUAAAAUUUGUUUUAAAUAAUACAAUACAAUUUCUAAAUCGUAAUUGCAAAUAAAUAAUAUAAAGCAAACUGUCGAAGUUCUUCCCUCACGUAGAUAUUUCCAUAAAUUAAUUAAUUAAAUUUAGAUGUCUGUGUAUUUUGUUUUAUUCUAAAAUUAAAAAUUACAAAAAGAAUUGCAAUAUAAUUGUAAUAUGUACUAAUUUCAAAUGAAAUUUAAAAAAAACAACGAUAUUAAACUUAAAGGUUUUUCAUUUAUUAUGGAAUUUGUUCAUUGGUCUCAGCAAAGUUUAAUAAUUACUGGUGGCAGGACGUCUUGUGAGUCCGCCCUGGUAAGUACUACCACCCUGUCUAUUUCUGCCGUGAAGCAGUAAUGCCUUUCGGUUGAAGGGUGGGGCAGCCGUUGUAACUACACUGAGACCUUAAAACUUAUAUCUCAAGGUAGGUGACGGCAUUUGCGUUCUAGAUGUCUAUGGGCUCCGGUAGCCACUUAACAUCAGAUGGGCCAUGAGCUCGUCCACCCAGCUAUGCAAUAAAAAAAUAAAAUUAAAAAAUACACAAUCACUUUACCGCGAGACUCCACAAGUCAUCAAAUACUACAUAUUAUGUUAAUACAAUAUGUUUUUCUUUUUUUUUUACCGUCGCCCAUGGACUUCAGCAAUGCCAGGGGCACAGCCAAGCCGCUGCCUACCGAAACUUCAUUAAGACAGAGAAAACAUUGUCCAUGUCGGUCGGUCGUGUGAGAGAGCCUUAAGAUGUAAUUGGACCAUGGUGUUACUAUCCUAUGCCUUUUUAGGGAAGAUAUAUAUAUAUAAUAUUAAUAUGUAUAAUUAAUAAAUAGGAAAUAUCUAUUAUAUAAUAAUAAAAUCUAGUAUCUGAUAAUUUUAGUGUAUGAUAAUUCAUACACAAUACUCGACACGUCUAAACGAUAUAGAAAAUUCGAAUCCUAAUGUUUUUUUGUUUAAAAUAUAUAUUAAAAAAAAACAUUAAAAUUUAUAGGUACCCGGUAAUUGAUAAAUUUACUUCGUUUUAAAUUUUUUCGUAUCGGGAAUUACUUGUGUUUUAAAAGUAAAACAGCUUAAAUUCCCUGUCGUAUAUUUAAAAUAGUUUACAAUAAUUAAAUGUAUCAACAAAUUCAUUAGAACAAUAUACCUAUAGACGCUUAUAUUUAUGGAGAAAAAAAAAAACACUCACUGUAUCAAUCCUAAACAGUUAUUGCACUUUUUAUAGAGUAUAACAUGAAAUGUAUUAUUAAAUAUCAAUCAGAAGUGUAACAUUCAAAACGAAUUAACCAGUUAAAUGGCCAUUGCGCAUGGAUAACGCCCAUGCCAGUAAUCAUGCUACCAAAGGAUCAAAGGAAUGACUUUAUCAACGCCAUAUCAGAUUAAAAGCGCUUGUCUAGUAGUGAAAACUAAUUAAAAUACAAGAAGCAAAAAACCUGUUGUCUGAUUAAAUAUCCUUGUUUUAUCUCGCCUACGUUUUUAAUCGUUUUGAAUGGCUACACCUUACAACCGUAACCCGGAUAAUUAAUUAAUUAAUUAAAUUUUAAUCACAAGCAAAAUAAAAUAAAAUAGCUAUAAAUUUAUUAAAUAUUAACAUUUUUAAAAUUAACUCUUUAAAUUUUAGAACUAAAUAAGAAACUUUCUAAAUGUUAAAAAAAAACUUUAAUAUACAUAAUAUAUUAUGUAAAUCGAAAUAAAUGUCUGUAUGUGUAUUCUAAUCGUGAAAGAAAUACAAUAAAUACACAAGUUAAUAUGAAAAA